AGGAAUUACUUACCUGGAUCAUGCAGGUGCAACGCUUUAUGCUCAUAGUCAGAUUCAUCGCUUUUACCAAGACCUUGCAGAAAAUAUCUAUGGUAACCCCCACAGUGCAAAUAUUGCCAGUCGAUUGACACAUGACACUAUUGAACGAGUUCGUUACAGAAUUUCUCGGUCGCUGUUGGCAAAGUGUGGAGCUAACUUACUUCUGUCCGCCAACUCUGAGGCAGUUCACUGGAACUGUGAAGGGCAACUCUGAACAGACAGUGGUUUACCUGGAGCACAACUGCAUUUUAAAAAUGGUGCUGCUGCUUGGAAUCCUGGAAGAUCCUGACAGUGGCAGGCAA